rnacentral:lncRNA from 10 species
UGUGUACUGCAGGUGUGGAAACAGGAAGAGAACUAGAACUGGAAGUAAAGCAUUGAAGAUGUGACUGAAUUGCUGCAAUCUCAUGAUCAAAUUUGAAUGGAUGAGGAGUUGCUUUUUAGGGAUGAGCAAAGAAAGUGGUUUCUCGAGAUGGAAUCUACUGGUGAAGUUGCUGUGAACAUUGUUAAAAUGCCAAUAAAGGAUUUAGGAAUUACAGAAACCUGGUUGAUAAAGCAGUGCCAGGGUGUGAGAGAGUUGACUUCAAUUUUGAAAUAAGUUCCACUGGCUGGGUGUGGUGGCUCACACCUGCAAUCCCAGUACUUUAGGAGGCCGAGACUGGUAGAUCAUUUGAGGUCAGGAGUUCAAGACCAGCCUUGCCAACAUGGUGAAACCCCACCUCUACCAAAUUAGCCAGGUUGCUCCUUGAGGGCAGGACAGUUCUUAUGGCUUUAUCCGUUGCGUAAGCACAGAGAGGUCUGCGAGGUCAAAACUAUUGUCAUGAUAGCAAGAUGCCUGUCUUUUUCAUUUAUUCUCACGGUGUGCAGAGGCUACAUGAUGUGUGAUGACAUCCUCAUUGAUGUUAAUGAAUGGUGCUAUACUUGAAUUUUCUAAGGUGUCAUUAGGUAGGUUUAGGUAUGCAUACUUGUUUUUAGAAAUUAUUUUUUUCCUUUUUCCCAUUUUUAGAAAUCAACUCAUUUUUUAGGUUAUGCCUUCAGUAAUCUUUGCAACCUCAAUAUUGUGUAAUGGUUACUUUAAAAUACUGUAGUUUUCUUUGUGCCUAAGUAUAAACAUAAGUACAUUUUGUUGUUUUGUUUGCAAUAGUGGUUUAAAUAUUUUCCCAAAAUAUCCAAAUUUAAAAAUUCUACAACUUUAGAAUUUAAUAAAUUUAUUCUAAAAUAUUUAUAUAUUUUUUCAUUUAAGAAUGGAUCGGCUUAAAAAGACUGCUUCUCAUUUACUUACUGGCUAUACCAUCUGUAUACUAAUAAAAAACAAGAUUU